rnacentral:rRNA from 1 species
GACGAACCGUGCGAACGUUGUUCGGAAUCACUGGGCUGAAAGGGCGCGUAGGCGGGCCAUCAAGUCCGGGGUGAAAUCCUCCGGCUCAACCGGAGAACUGCCUUGGAUACUGAUGGUCUUGAGGGAGGUAGGGGCAUGUGGAACUUCCGGUGGUGCGGUGAAAUGCGUUGAUAUCGGAAGGAACGCCGGUUGCGAAAGCGACGUGCUGGACCUCUUCUGACGCUGAGGCGCGAAAGCUAGGGGAGCAAACGGG